rnacentral:rRNA from 1 species
GUGGGGAAUAUUGCACAAUGGGGGAAACCCUGAUGCAGCCAUGCCGCGUGUGUGAAGAAGGCCUUCGGGUUGUAAAGCACUUUCAGCGAGGAGGAAAGGAUGCUGGCUAAUAUCCAGCAUCUGUGACGUUACUCGCAGAAGAAGCACCGGCUAACUCCGUGCCAGCAGCCGCGGUAAUACGGAGGGUGCAAGCGUUAAUCGGAAUUACUGGGCGUAAAGCGCACGCAGGCGGUUGGAUAAGUUAGAUGUGAAAGCCCCGGGCUCAACCUGGGAAUUGCAUUUAAAACUGUCCAGCUAGAGUCUUGUAGAGGGGGGUAGAAUUCCAGGUGUAGCGGUGAAAUGCGUAGAGAUCUGGAGGAAUACCGGUGGCGAAGGCGGCCCCCUGGACAAAGACUGACGCUCAGGUGCGAAAGCGUGGGGAGCAAACAGGAUUAGAUACCCCUGUAGUCC